GAUUCGUCACACUAUCAUUAACUGAAUCCAUAGGUUAAUGAGGCGAACCGGGGGAACUGAAACAUCUAAGUACCCCGAGGAAAAGAAAUCAACCGAGAUUCCCCCAGUAGCGGCGAGCGAACGGGGAGGAGCCCAGAGCCUGAAUCAGCAUGUGUGUUAGUGGAAGCGUCUGGAAAGGCGCGCGAUACAGGGUGACAGCCCCGUACACAAAAGCGCAUGUGCUGUGAGCUCGAUGAGUAGGGCGGGACACGUGGUAUCCUGUCUGAAUAUGGGGGGACCAUCCUCCAAGGCUAAAUACUCCUGACUGACCGAUAGUGAACCAGUACCGUGAGGGAAAGGCGAAAAGAACCCCGGCGAGGGGAGUGAAAAAGAACCUGAAACCGUGUACGUACAAGCAGUGGGAGCACCCUUUGGGGUGUGACUGCGUACCUUUUGUAUAAUGGGUCAGCGACUUAUAUUCUGUAGCAAGGUUAACCGAAUAGGGGAGCCGUAGGGAAACCGAGUCUUAACCGGGCGUUAAGUUGCAGGGUAUAGACCCGAAACCCGGUGAUCUAGCCAUGGGCAGGUUGAAGGUUGGGUAACACUAACUGGAGGACCGAACCGACUAAUGUUGAAAAAUUAGCGGAUGACCUGUGGCUGGGGGUGAAAGGCCAAUCAAACCGGGAGAUAGCUGGUUCUCCCCGAAAGCUAUUUAGGUAGCGCCUCGUGAAUUCAUCUCCGGGGGUAGAGCACUGUUUCGGCUAGGGGGCCAUCCCGGCUUACCAACCCGAUGCAAACUGCGAAUACCGGAGAAUGUUAUCACGGGAGACACACGGCGGGUGCUAACGUCCGUCGUGAAGAGGGAAACAACCCAGACCGCCAGCUAAGGUCCCAAAGUCAUGGUUAAGUGGGAAACGAUGUGGGAAGGCCCAGACAGCCAGGAUGUUGGCUUAGAAGCAGCCAUCAUUUAAAGAAAGCGUAAUAGCUCACUGGUCGAGUCGGCCUGCGCGGAAGAUGUAACGGGGCUAAACCAUGCACCGAAGCUGCGGCAGCGAACGUAUCACCCAAGACAACUUUGCGGAGUUGACGAUUGACGGAGCGAAGCGACGUCAAAGCGUUCA
rnacentral:rRNA from 1 species